AAUUUUGGACAAUGGGGGAAACCUUGAUCCAGCCAUCCCGCGUGUAUGAUGAAGGCCUUCGGGUUGUAAAGUACUUUUGGCAGAGAAGAAAAGGUACCUCCUAAUACGAGGUACUGCUGACGGUAUCUGCAGAAUAAGCACCGGCUAACUACGUUCCAGCAGCCGCGGUAAUACGUAGAGUGCAAGCGUUAAUCGGAAUUACUGGGCGUAAAACGUGUGUAGGCGGUUCGGAAAGAAAGAUGUGGAAUCCCAAGGCUAAACCUUGGAACUGCAUUUUUAACUGCCGAGCUAGAGUAUGUCAGAGGGGGGUAGAAAUCCACGUGUAGCAGUGAAAUGCGUAGAUAUGUGGAGGAAUACCGAUGGCGAAGGCAGCCCCCUGGGAUAAUACUGACGCUCAGACACGAAAGCGUGGGGAGCAAACA
rnacentral:rRNA from 1 species